rnacentral:lncRNA from 1 species
UUUCUAACCCAGAGCCAUCACAAAUGUCCUUUUGGCUGAAGAAAGAAAGGAAGACAUCCUGAAGAGGAAACCAACAAAUGCCCAUUUUGUCUUCUUACCCUCACCACUAGAAAUUCGCCUGAUUGAUCUCUACCACCCUGGCUCAGAGACACAAAGUCUGCCUCUGAACAUCUGGGACAAGAGGAAUGUGAAGCCAGGGAGACACCCUUGAUCUGUAGAAGUGACACUGUGUCUUUCCAAGGGGAAGAAGCAGCUUCGGGCCAACUCUGAAGUAACAUCAGGCGAUUAAACUCAAGGGGCCUGUUACAAGGUCAGAAGUGAA